rnacentral:rRNA from 1 species
UGAAGAAUCUCGUGAACCAUCGAGUCUUUGAACGCAUGUUGCACCCAAAGUAAUUAGGUUAAGGGCACGUUUGUCUAGGCGUCACGC